AUUGAACGCUGGCGGCAGGCUUAACACAUGCAAGUCGAGCGGGGUGAUGGUGCUUGUACUAUCACUAGCGGCGGACGGGUGAGUAAUGCUUAGGAAUCUGCCUAUUAGUGGGGGACAACAUCUCGAAAGGGAUGCUAAUACCGCAUACGUCCUACGGGAGAAAGCAGGGGAUCACUUGUGACCUUGCGCUAAUAGAUGAGCCUAAGUCGGAUUAGCUAGUUGGUGGGGUAAAGGCCUACCAAGGCGACGAUCUGUAGCGGGUCUGAGAGGAUGAUCCGCCACACUGGGACUGAGACACGGCCCAGAAUCCUACGGGAGGCAGCAGUGGGGAAUAUUGGACAAUGGGGGGAACCCUGAUCCAGCCAUGCCGCGUGUGUGAAGAAGGCCUUAUGGUUGUAAAGCACUUUAAGCGAGGAGGAGGCUCUUUUGGUUAAUACCCAAGAUGAGUGGACGUUACUCGCAGAAUAAGCACCGGCUAAUUCUGUGCCAGCAGCCGCCGUAA
rnacentral:rRNA from 1 species